rnacentral:tRNA from 1 species
GGAGAGAUGGCCGAGUCCGGCUGAAGGCGCUCGACUCGAAAUCGAGUUGGCACUAACACUGCCACGUGGGUUCGAAUCCCACUCUCUCCGCCA